rnacentral:lncRNA from 1 species
GACUCGGGCUCCAUUAGCGACCUUAAACAAUUUCACACAUCUGUUGAUUCAUGAAAUACCGUUUUAUCAUUUAUUGAACUUUAAUACCGUGAUAGGAAAUAGGGUGAGGGGUCCUCACUCGUUUUGGGGUCCGAAUGCGGCUUAACGGUGCGCCUACAGGCUGUCCCUAAUUUUCCCUGAAUUUUUCGGGAAACUGAAACGCACUAACGGUACCUGCACGCGUUCCAAAAAAUCUCAAAUUAGGCACAGGGCCCCUUUUUGGCCAAUAUUGCAAUUCUGGCACGGCGACUCCCCCGUGCUCCGGCGGCGGUGAUUCGCCUCGGGUUGGCCGUUUUUGGCCGUUUCCGGCCAAAUUCGGCCACACUUGCAUCGGUCCCUACGAUAAAACAACCCUAGGGCCCUUGAGAAGCCAAAAAAUUACGGAAAACCGAAGCUUACCGGCGGCGGUGCUCUCGGGUGCGACGGCUCUCCGGUGAGGUUCGUGCUUUGGUGAUUCGGCUCCGAUCAAUUGUGCAAUGAAGGUUGGGUCUCGGUGAUGAUAAGCUGCAAUGUAUAUGAUUGCCGCUCGAAAAUUAAGGACAGUAGAGAGAGAGCUUCUUCUGUGACAGAGAUGGCCUGAGCUGCUUGGAGUCGCGCUGAAGAAAAUACAGAGAUGGGUGAUAUUUGUGCUUAUGUCAAUAAGUAGAGGCCAGUAAUUGGUUCUACGAGUAGAAGGAAAAUAAAGAAUGAGAAGAACAAUUUGAGGGGAUUUUUCUAAGUAUUUUGCGAAGAGUCCAUGGAGAAUAUGAGCUCUCUCUCUCUUCUCGGCCUCCUCUCUCUCUCUACGCCCCUUUAGCCUCAAGGAUUCCUCCUUUCUCUUUUUUCGAGUUUCGUUCUUUAUAAUGGAGCGAAGCUGUUUAGAUCAGCAUCCCCGCACUGAAGAUUCUCCAAAAAUCACGAAAACCCAUUUCUUCCCGCUCGCGACGUGCACGUCCUUCCUUCCUUCUUCUUCUCCCGUUUUCUGCGCCACUACGCUGCUUAUAGUGGAGCGAAGCUGUUUAGAUCAGCAUCCUCGCACUGAAGAUUCUCCAAAAAUCACGAAAACCCAUCUCUUCCCGCUCGCGACGUGCACGUCUUUGCUUCCUUCUUCUUCUCCCGUUCUCUGCGCCACCACGCUUUUUUUUUUUUUUUUUGGCUGGAUAAAUAAUUAAUGAGGAAAUUACAAAAAUGCCCACGUUCUGGGCGUUACACAUGCUCUAGGGCUCAAGGGCAUGAAUGGUGGCAACUUGAGAGACCUGAGAGAUUUAUAUUUGUAUUUAAUAUUUAUGAAUGUAUGUUUGUAUUUAUUUAAUAACAAGGCAUGACUAAUUGAUAUCCCGUUUGCCCUCUCUAGAAAUAGGUGUAAGCGGCUGACCAUGUAGGUUUGCAAUCAGUGUAAUAUAAAUUAGAUAAUAAAUUAGUAUUAAAAACAUUGUGUCAAAAGAUAAGUUUCAUCCUGCGUGCGUGAGUUGUGUAAACCCAUUGAAUACAGUGUUGAGCGUCUUCAUGAGGAU